GAUGAAGAACGCAGCGAAAUGCGAUAAGUAAUGUGAAUUGCAGAAUUCAGUGAAUCAUCGAAUCUUUGAACGCACAUUGCGCCCGCCAGUAUUCUGGCGGGCAUGCCUGUUCGAGCGUCAUUUCAACCCUCAGGGCCCUUUUGGACCUGGCGUUGGGGCUCGGCCGCUACCCUGCGGCCGUCCCCGAAAGAUAGUGGCGGUCUCGCUGUAGCCUCCUCUGCGUAGUAGUUACAUCUCGCACUGGAACGCGGCGCGGCCAUGCCGUUAAACACCCCACUUCUCAAGGUUGACCUCGGAUCAGGUAGGAAUACCCGCUGAACUUAAGCAUAUCAAUAAGCGGAGA
rnacentral:misc_RNA from 1 species